rnacentral:lncRNA from 1 species
UCCAUAUCAUCCAAACAUGUAAGCUGUUAGAUAAGAAUUUACAAAGCACAGUAAUAAGACCAAAACAGUCCAACAGAAAUUCACGGUUGAUCCGUCCAAAUCCAGUGGACAUAGAAGGCAGGGAGAAACAAAGACAACGUAAGGAUCGAUCGAGACAGCGAUCGUCCAAAAGGUAAAAGGUCGCAACGAAGCAUUAGAUGGACAUGUAU